rnacentral:lncRNA from 1 species
UGGGCUGACCAACACCUAGAAUGAUGCUGAUUUGGGGCAUUUCAUAUGGAUGAGGAAGUGGGUGCAAAGUGGUUGUCAUAAGUAUUGGCAAUUUUAUCUCAUAUAGAAAUCUUUCUUUCAUGAGUAUUAGAUUGAUUCAAUCAGAUUUGAAUUAGGACUCCUAUACUUAUUGGGUCAUGGGAUUCAUCUAUAAAUAGAGAGGGUCUUUACCUAUAGAUAUAUAACAAAAUAGAAAAUAAAUCAGAUUGAGAGAAGAGAGAAAGAGAGAGAGGCGUAAGAAGAGAGAAAUCCUUCUUCUUCUCCUUAGCAUCUCCUCUUUAGUGCCACCCCUUCUCCCUUGGGUGUGGGCCCUCCUUGGGCCUCCCACCUGCUGGUGUGAGGUGUCACACUAGUACAUCUCCUCCCUCAUUUGAUUGGAUUGUGAAGAUCAAAGUUUAUCCUGCUUUUCUAUGGCGUCUGGCAUGCAUGCAAAGUAGAGGAUCUUAACGAUAGAGGAUCUUUCUGAAAACUAGAUCGAUUCACCCCUGAACUGAGUUGGCUCAUUUCAGUGGGUCGACUAAGUAUAAUACUUAGUUGGCUAACUGAUUAUAAAUAGUAACCAUUACUAUUUGGCCUGAGAUAACUAUGUCAGGUCAGUCAACACUGAAUCGUUAAAAAAUAAGAGACUGGAUCGACUCAGUUCAAAACUAGUCGGCUCAAUUGGCAUGCCAAUAGGUAUC